rnacentral:lncRNA from 14 species
CAAAGGAUCUCGCUCUACAAAGAUAAACCAGAUUUACCUUUCCACCAGCUACAUCCAGAUUUUCACCUGUCAGACGGUUCAGAAUCAUUCCCAAAGAAUCAUGUCCUGCAACGAACUUGAUUUUUUUUUAAUAUUCA